CAGCCGCCGCGGGAAUACGUAGGUGGCAAGCGUUGUCCGGAAUUAUUGGGCGUAAAGGGCUCGCAGGCGGUUUCAUAAGUCUGAUGUGAAAGCCCCCGGCUCAACCGGGGAGGGUCAUUGGAAACUGGGAAACUUGAGUGCAGAAGAGGAGAGUGGAAUUCCACGUGUAGCGGUGAAAUGCGUAGAGAUGUGGAGGAACACCAGUGGCGAAGGCGACUCUCUGGUCUGUAACUGACGCUGAGGAGCGAAAGCGUGGGGAGCGAACAGGAUUAGAUACCCCGGUAGUCCCUGUCUCUUAUAC
rnacentral:rRNA from 1 species